rnacentral:lncRNA from 1 species
UGUUUGGGGACCCUCCCCCAUUGCUACAAAAUGGGGGUCAAGAUAUUAUGUCUCAUUUAUUGAUGAUCAUACUCGAUAUUGUUGGGUUUAUCUUAUGAAACAUCGUUCUGAUUUUCUAGGAAUUUAUCAAGCUUUUCGUGCUCUUGUCAAAACUCAAUUCUCUUAUGUUAUUAAGUGUUUUAGGUGUGACUUGUGUAGGGAAUAUACUUCCAAUAGCUUCAGAGAGUUGCUUGAUAAUGAUGGUACUAUACAUCAAAGUUCUUGCACUGACACACCACAACAAAAUGGUGUGGCAGAAAGAAAGCAUCAUCACAUUGUUGAAACAGCCCGCUCUCUACUUUUGUCUGCCUCUGUUCCCAGUGAGUUUUGGGGAGAGGCUACUCUUACCUUUGUUUACUUGAUAAAUAGGAUCCCAUCUGCCCUUACCAAAGGUGUGUCUCCUUUUGAGAAAUUUUUUGGCUAUGCCCCUGACUACACUCAUCUGCGUGUGUUUGGAUGUGCUUGCUUCGUUCUUCGCCCUCAUGUUGAGCGAAAUAAGUUAUCCUCUCGUUCUGCCUUGUGUAUUUUCCUAGGGUAUGGGGAAGGUCAAAAGGGUUAUAGAUGUUUUGAUCCUGUUAGUCAUAAGUUGUAUGUGUCCCUUCAUGUCUUUUUUAUCGAGCAUAUUCCUCUAUAUUCCAUUCCUUCAUCUCCUAACAAUGUGACUAGAUCUGACCUCAUACAUGUUGACCCGUUUGUUAGCGAUUGUGAGCUUGAACAUGCAGGUACUAAUGAUGAUGUUACUAAUGAUAUUGCCCAACCUGCCUCUCCUGCUCCUUCUCCACCUCCUGUGAAUGUGGAUCCACCUCUUCGUCGUUCUACCCGUGUCAGUAAGUCUACUCGUCUUCCUGAUUUUGCUUAUUCUGCAUAUUUUCCUUCUUUCACUGCUUUUCUUUUUCAAUCCACAAAAUUGUUGAACCCAUCUCCUAUAAGGAGGCUUCUCUUAAUCCUUUGUGGCAACGGGCUAUGGAUGAUGAACUUCAAGCUCUACACAAGACUGGUACUUGGGAGUUGGUACCCCUUCCACAAGGAAAGCAUGCCAUCGGUUCCCGAUGGGUAUAUAAGAUCAAAACAAAGGCAGAUGGAUCUAUUGAGAGGUAUAAAGCAAGGUUGGUUGCUAAGGGGUUUUCACAACAAUAUGGUCUAGAUUAUGAAGAAACAUUUGCUCCUGUUGCCAAAAUGACCACGGUUCGUACUCUUAUUGCUGUUGCUGCUGCCCGUCAAUGGGAUCUCUCUCAGAUGGAUGUCAAGAAUGCCUUCUUACAUGGAGAUCUUAUUGAUGAAGUCUACAUGACUCCUCCUCCAGGGGUCUCCCACAAAGCUGGAUAUGUUUGUCGGCUAAAGAAAUCUUUGUAUGGUCUAAAACAAGCCUCUCGCUCUUGGUAUGACACAUUCUCCAUUGCUCUUAUUUCUCUUGGCUUUCGUAUGAGCGAAUGUGAUCAUGCACUUUUUGUCAAGACCUCGGAUUCUGGUAUUAUCCUCGUUUCUCUAUAUGUUGAUGAUAUGAUCAUAACUGGGAGUGACACAACUGGAAUUUCUUCAUUGAAAUCAGAUUUAGCAUCUCGCUUUGAAAUGAAGGAUUUAGGUCCUCUUAGAUAUUUUCUUGGUAUUGAGGUUUGUAAAUCCCCCAGGGGGUAUCUCUUAUCUCAGUCCAAAUAUAUUGCUGACAUUCUUGAUCGUGCUCAUCUUACUGACACUCGCACUAUUGACACUCCUAUGGAAGCAAAUGUUCAGUACUCCACAUCUGAUGGUUACCUUUGGAGGAUCCACCUUGUAUCGCACCAUUGUUGGACGUUUGGUCUACCUAACUAUCUCUCGCCCGGAUAUUGCUUAUGCUGUCCACAUUGUCAGUCAGUUUGUCUCUUCUCCUACCACAGUUCAUUGGUCUGCUGUUCUUCGCAUUCUUCGCUAUCUUCGAGGUACGAUGUUCCACAGUCUCUUGUACUCUACCACUUCAUCACUUGAGCUUCGUGCCUUUUCUGAUGCUGAUUGGGCCAGUGAUCCUAUUGAUCGAAAAUCUACUACUGGGAUGUGUGUAUUUUUCGGUGAUUCUCUUAUCUCUUGGAAGAGUAAGAAACAAAAGGUUGUUUCUCGAUCAUCUACAGAAGCCGAGUACCGAGCCAUGGCCUCCACUACUACUGAGAUUAUCUGGCUAAGGUGGUUACUCUCUGAAAUGGGUGUCUCCAUCUCUAAACCAACUCCAAUGUAUUGUGACAAUAAGAGUGCUAUUCAAAUUGCUCACAACUCUGUCUUCCAUGAGCGUACUAAACACAUUGAGAUCGACUGUCAUUUCACUCGCCAUCAUUUGCAGCAGGGGACACUUGAGUUACCUUUUAUUGCUUCUUCUUCACAGAUUGCAGAUUUGCUCACCAAGUCUCUUCCACUUCCGCGCUUUCGUGCUCUGGUUGGCAAACUCUCAAUGCUCGUCGCAGCGACAUCUUGAGUUUGAGGAAGGGUGUUAGAAU